AGGGGAGUGUACAGUAUGUUAUGUUUAAAGGGGUAGAAUGUACAACAUUCAGAGGUUACAAAGCUGAGCCCUAUCUGACUGAGAGACAUGUCCUCCUCCUCUCUUCUGUGGUGCAUGCUGGUGGUGUGUGUUCUGACUGUGGUCCAGAUCUAUGCAGCAGAGGAACGUAAGGUCCUCAAGGUGUCAACCUCAGAGCCAGCGACCUGAACAGCGCUUGUUCCAGACCCCUGAUGCCUACGUCAAGGUGUUUAUGGGCUCUGGCUACGGCGGGAAGACAGAGGUAAAGAACAACAACCAUGACCCCUGGUGGAAGGAGGAACUUCAACUUCUUCAACGCCCAUGAGAACAACCCUGUGAGGUUGGAGGUGUACGACAGUGACUUGCUCUUCGACGACCUGCUGGGGACCUGCGAGCGCUCCAUCAAGAUUGGAACUUGGCAGCAUCAAUGUUUCCUGAAGAAGGGCGGGACCCUGUACUACUCCUACACCCUAGAGCCUCUACAGUAGACCCUGUACUACUCCUACAACCUAGAGCCUCUACAGUAGACCGUACUACUCCUACACCCUAGAGCCUCUACAGUAGACCCUUACUACUCCUACACCCUAGAGCCCCUACAGUAGACCCU